GACGUAGGGGGCGAGCGUUGUCCGGAUUUACUGGGCGUAAAGCGCGCGUAGGCGGUCCGUUAAGUGCACAAGUGAAAGCUCCUGGCUCAACCAGGAAAUUGCUUUGCAUACUGGCGGGAUGGAGGGACGCAGAGGUCUGUGGAAUUCCUGGUGUAACGGUGAAAUGUGUUGAUAUCAGGAGGAACACCCAUGGCGAAGGCAGCAGACUGGGCGUUUCCUGACGCUGAGGCGCGAAAGCGUGGGUAGCAAACAGG
rnacentral:rRNA from 1 species